GCAACAUGGUUAUGGGUACUACAGUGGAUGUGAGUGUGUAGACCUUGUACAAUAGAGCUUAUAGGCUAAUGAGAAGACAGGAAGAAACAACAGGAACACAUAUAGCUGGAAUGCAGAUGGGAUCUGUGCUACUUACGCUAGCCAUGGGAUGAUUAGAACAAGAUAAGAGACAUGAGGAAGACUUCUUCAAGGAGGUGCUCAAGCCAUGUUUUGGAAAAGAGAACUCAAGGUCUGGCAGGGAGAAAGGAGCAAGACUGCCUGGCAGCUCUUUAGAAAGUUGUGUGACGUAUGAACCAGUUCUUCCCUAUAUGAGAGUGUACCGUACAUCGCAGGCUGUCCAGCAUCGACCCCACUGAUGGAUGCUAGUAGUCCUCCCCGCCAGCACUCAACAUUGUGACAGUCAAAAACAUCCUCUCUACAUUUUCAAUGCCCCUGUUGGGGUAGCAGGACUCCCACUGAGAGACCCCAGUAGAGAUGGUAAGUGGAGGCAGAGCAGCACCUCUCACACUUCCAUGUGCCCUUGAAUGCCCCCACGGAUCUUGCUAACAUGCAGAUUUAGGAUGUCUGGGGUGGAGCCUGAGAAUCUGCAUUUCUACCAGCUGUUCUUGGACCCAGGCUGGCGAGAUCAGAGGAAGAAGAAAUGACCUUGGGUUUAGGUAGCAAAGACUUCACAGAAAAGAAGGGAACAUAAACAAGGUUUUGAAGAAUACAUGGAGGUGGAGCUGAUGACAUCCCACGAGGUGCAGGCUGCUGGGAGGCAGGCACACUGGACCAGCGGAGAGGGAUCCUGACAGAAAAAGCCUGAGAUC
rnacentral:lncRNA from 10 species